rnacentral:rRNA from 1 species
GAUUGACCUCGGAUCAGGUAGGGAUACCCGCUGAACUUAAGCAUAUCAAUAAGCGGAGGAAAAGAAACCAACAGGGAUUGCCUCAGUAACGGCGAGUGAAGCGGCAACAGCUCAAAUUUGAAAUCUGGUCCUUUCAGGGCCCGAGUUGUAAUUUGUAGAGGAUGUUUCGGGUGCGGCGCGGGUCUAAGUCCUUUGGAACAGGGCGUCAUAGAGGGUGAGAAUCCCGUAUGUGACCCGUGAUCAAGCCCAUGUGAAACCCCUUCGACGAGUCGAGUUGUUUGGGAAUGCAGCUCAAAAUGGGUGGUAAAUUUCAUCUAAAGCUAAAUACCGGCCAGAGACCGAUAGCGCACAAGUAGAGUGAUCGAAAGAUGAAAAGCACUUUGGAAAGAGAGUCAAAAAGUACGUGAAAUUGUUGAAAGGGAAGCGCUUGCAACCAGACCUGUCCGCAGGCGAUCAACUCCCGUUCUCGGGGGUGCACUCGUCUGUGAUCAGGCCAGCAUCGGUUCGGGCGGUCGGAUAAAGGCCUUGGGAAUGUAGCUCCUUCCGGGGAGUGUUAUAGCCCUCGGUGCAAUGCGGCCAGCCCGGACCGAGGACCGCGCCUUCGGGCUAGGAUGCUGGCGUAAUGGUUGUAAGCGACCCGUCUUGAAACACGGACCAAGGAGUCUAACAUCUAUGCAAGUGUUUGGGUGUCAAACCCAUACGCGUAAUGAAAGUGAACGGAGGUGAGAACCCUUAAGGGCGCAUCAUCGACCGAUCCAGAUGUCUUCGGAUGGAUUUGAGUAUGAGCAUAGCUGUUGGGACCCGAAAGAUGGUGAACUAUGCCUGAAUAGGGUGAAGCCAGGGGAAACCCUGGUGGAGGCUCGCAGCGGUUCUGACGUGCAAAUCGAUCGUCAAAUUUGGGUAUAGGGGCGAAAGACUAAUCGAACCAUCUAGUAGCUGGUUCCUGCC